rnacentral:rRNA from 1 species
GAGCGGGGGCCGUCCGGUCGCACGGGAAUCCGUAGUGCCAGACGCAGUUGACUCUCGCCCGAAGGACGCCGCAGCCGGUUGGGCAGCUGCAAGCGCGACGGCCUGAGGGGCGGAAAAUGGCAGGUGGCCGGUAGCGUCUCACCACGAGCGCCGCCGGUUGUUAGCCGUUCCGUCAGUGGCACGUCGCCCGACCGAGGUGUCGAUAGGCCCUUAUGGGCCUCAUCGUCUCCCCCUCCCCCAGGAAGGGCGGGCUAGAGUGUCGCAGUCGGAGUUCGCCGACCCGUGCGCACCCCGAUGGGGUGGUCGGGAGAGCGUUCGCCUUCGUUCGCGACGCCGGACCCGUUGUGGAGGGCCGGAGGCUGGCGGCGAGUAGGUCGGUCACCCACCCGACCCGUCUUGAAACACGGACCAAGGAGUCUAACAUGUGCGCGAGUCAAUGGGUCUCGAAAAAGCCCAGAGGCGCAACGAAAGCAAAGGCCGCGCACCACGCCGGCCGAGUUGGGAUCCYCGGCCUUGAGCCGGGGCGCACCAACGGCCCGUCCUAUCCGGUUCGCCGGUUGGGCGGAGCAAGAGCGUACACGUUGGGACCCGAAAGAUGGUGAACUAUGCCCGGGCAGGACGAGGUCAGAG